rnacentral:lncRNA from 1 species
GUCGCCGCUGAAUGUGCGUCUCGAAGUCCCAGGCCUCUGCCAACGUCGCAGCUGCAAGUAUUAGUGCGUGUAGAGCUAACAGCUAGAAGUCCCAGCUACAUUUGCACAAGUGCGUGUAGCCAAUGAUUUUUUAGCGCUCCAAACCGGUUCUGGCUUGAUUCACACGGACACUGCAAGUAAUGUAUGUGUUGGUGCCCUGACUUUCUGAAGUGCG